GAAAAGUUCAUUUGUGUCAUAUAUUAGAUUCCAGAUAUAAGUGAUAUCAUAUUGUAUUUCUCUAGAUACUUAAUAAUUAAAAUAAUAUAAAAAUAAUGUACAUAUAUAAAUUUAAAAAUUGUUUAUAAGUACAUUAGAAAAUAACAAGGGAAAAGAGAAGAAUGUGUCUGAGAAAGUAAAUGAAAACCAAAAAAUGAAAAAAGAAAAGCUGUCUGUUCAGAGCCUGUUACUGUCCCUUGUAUUUGACAGACACUCAAAGGCAAGUAUAGGAGUAGGCAAAAUACUUACAGAGAAAAAAAAGUAAGCCUGCAUGUACUCAGAGGUGCCCUGAUUGGAGGCUGCUGACACAGAGGUGCUGUAGACAGGCUAACUAGACAUAAGAAACCCUGGGUGACCGGUUAGGGGAACAUAAUGGCUUUGUUGGGUUGAUCUUAAGUUGGAAGUAAGGAAAAAAUUAGGGAAGCUGUCAGAUAUUAAUCCAGUCCUGGCCAUGUGGGGCCAAUUGCUCCAGAAGUUAUUGUUUGGCUUCUUGGAUUGUUGCUAGAGAUUGCAAUCUGAACUUCUUAAUGUCUGACUUAGGGCAGACAUUAAGAAGUCUGCCCUAAGAUUGCUGGUUGAGUGGAUAAUACAAGAAAUAAUUCCCAUAUAUGUUAGUCCUUAAGCUAUAGCCAAAGAAAAAAUCAGCAAUUAGAUCAAACUAAGUUUGUCACUGUUUGCUGGGUGGGGCAUUACCUAGGUAAAAUUUCAAGAAAGAGCAGAGUGAGAGGGCUCAAAAAUUCGAAUACUCUGUUAAAUACAUUACACAUUUAUGUUUCCUGGCCUUUAAAUCUUCUUAAACUUACCCAUUCUUUUUUUUUUUUUUUAAGAAAAUGAGGAUUAUAGCUUUUUGGCAAUACCCUACUCCAGGCAAAGACCCUUGGAAAAACUUGCCAAACCCUAGAUAUUUCCCCAAAGGCAAGAGAGGGAUAUGAUCUUCCAUCCAUCCUGUGAAGUUAGGGUGUUGCUCAGCCCUUUUCUCCACUAAAAGCAGUAUCAGUGGGGUCUGGGGAAGGGCUGAGUCCCCAUCCUUGGCAAGAUAGGCGGAUGAGGUGGUGUGAAUCAGGGCCAAUGUUUCUCUGUUACUGUUCCUUCCCUUCUGGGUGUCAUCAUAGUCCAUGGCAGAGCUGAUCUUGCAUCUGCACUUGGGGGUAUAUGGGCCUUGUGAGUCACUGCUCCUCUAUUGCUGGGGUCCUGUCAGCAGGGUCUGGUGGUGGGGGGACCCCUUCCCUCUAGACUAAAUAUCAGAGGCACUGGCUUCUGAAAAAGAGUCUUAUCCUGCAAGUACAACAAAACAUCAUGCAUCACACUCAGAACCAGGAAAAUGAGUAAGGGAAAAAGGAAAACCAGUAGCCAUCGAUGCUAUGGUGAACCCAGUGUUGGAAUCAUCUGACAAGGAUUUUAAAACAGUCAUCAUCAAAAUGCUUCAACAAGUAAUGGUGAAUAUUCUAAAAUAAAUUAAAAAACUGAAACUUUGAGUGAAGAAAUGGAAGUUAUAAAUAGGAACCAAAUGGGAGUUAUAGAACUGCACUAAAUAAAAACAAAUAAAAUAUAUGUAUAUCAACCUUCCUGGGUGUACUCAACAGCAGGAGCUGAGAUAAAAAAAAAAACACAGAAUCAAUGAUUUUAGGUUAGGUUAAUAGAAUUUACACAAUAUGAAUAGCAUUGUCAAAUGAAAGACAAAUCUGGCUCUGGUAAAGGAAGAGCUUUUGGGGAAAGAAUAUUUAUUGCAAGUGGAGAGGAGACCAUUGCUAGAGGGUGAAGGCUCUGGCCAUGGGAUCAGGAAGCAUCUCGAAGUUAAGGCACACAUGGUAGUCUUUUAUAUACAGCCAUACACACAGGUGGAAGGAGCUGGGUGUUGGGAUGUGGGAUGAGCAGGAGAUGCUCUGAUGGAAUCCUGGAUCAGAAUCCAUCUGACCUGAAGGCAGCCUGCCCUCUGGAGCCAUGUUCCAUGGACCAGGCAUAAGGAGAACCCAGUGUUUUUUUCAGGUGCAUUUUGUUCUGACUGAUCAGAGGGCACAAGCAAGUCAGCUAAUCAUUUAUGAGACAACGAAUGAGAAUUUGUCUGGAUCUACCCUAGUUUCAGGCAAACAGAAAGGAGUCUUAUCUGGAUCAAAUGGGGAGGGGCAGUUCUUUUCUCUAAGCUAUUUCCAAACACAAAAGGUUCAGGGGAUUUCUUAACUUUCCACUGUUUUUCAGAAUCACAGACUUCUGACAAUUUAACAUCAACAAGAGUUCCAGGGGCCCAGGGAACAAUAACAAAGAGCUAACAUUCGUACUGUCAACAAAGUUGUCAGCAGAAGACAUAGGAUAGACAGAGAGAGAGACAUUGGAAAAUAUUCAAAUAAAUGACUAAAAAAAUCCCCCAGUUUGGUGGAAACAUAAGCCUACAGAUUCUAAAAAUAUGGAGGGUACCCCAAAUAGGAUAAACCAAAAAACAAAAGUCAUCUGAAAAUUGAAGACAAACAGUUUUGGAAGCAGCCAGUGCAUCAGUUGUAGGGUAACAGCCAUUCCUGAGACAGAGGUUUCUCAUAUGAAACCACAGAGCCCAGAGGGAAGUGGUGCUAUAUUCUUAUGCAACUGAAGGGAAAGAAUUGUCAACAGCACAGUCUAGGUUAUGCCAAAAUAUGUUCAAGAAGGGAAGGGGAAUGAGGAACUUCUCUGACAGGAGUAACUAAGGAUCUGUCCUGAGCAAAACUCUCUUUACACAAUGGCUCCCAGAAGUUCCUUAAACCGGAAGAAAGUUGUAACAGAAAGAUGGAUGCUUCAGAAAGAAAGGAGCACAUCAGAAUGGGUGAAAAACAUCAGUAAAUUUAAUACUGCCAUAGUCUCCUGCUAAAAUCAUAUUUAUGGUUGAAGCAAAUUUAAGUCCCUCUAAUGUGACACCAUGUACACGGAAGAGGUACUUAAGACAAUUAUAUUUAAAAUGGCAGGGGAGCGAAGGCACAGUUAUAUAAGUUUUUUGAAGACAGAGGCUAUAUAUUAAAUAUUAUUGACGCUAUAUAAUCUAGAUUGAAGUGCCAAGUGACUACUUGCAAGAUCAAGACGUAGUAUUAUAGUUAAGGAGUUGUCUUGUUGAUGUUGUCAGAAUGCUGCUCUUUAUGAUUGAGCAGGGGUUUCUGCUAAGGGGGCAGGUUUCGUUGAUGUACAAUUCAGGUACACAGCGCACGGGGCGGGGGGGAAACAGGAGGUCGAAGUGCAGAGAAAAAAAUUAUUUUAAUUUUUCCUGUCUUGCCAUAGUAAUGGGAGUUUGAUUUCACAAUGUCAAUAGACUGGGACAAGUCACACUAGAUAUAUUGCAUAUGCUACAAUUUCUAAAGUAACAACUUAAAAAAUUAUGCAAAAUGAUGCAUUCCAAACAUUUUUAUUUUGGUAAUAAGCUCUGUCACAAAAGGGCUGUGCUAAAAUGGGAAUAUUAUUGGGGAAUUUCUUAGAAACUAAGAAUUUGGCUUGUCAAUUUGAACAUGUGACUCAUGAUUUGUUUGUGUGUGGACGUAAGAUUUACAUUUUAGCUUCAAAAUUUGAUAACAAUGUUAUAGUGAAUAUGUUAAUUUUUUUCUCAUCUGUAAGAUUGAAUUUAGAUAUUAUAUGCAGUAUUAAAAUGAUUGUUUUCCCUAUUAUUUAUAGCUGUUGAUAUUUUCACAUCAUCAUACAAGCCCCAGAUUUACUUCCUUUUUAUAUUUCCAAGCCACUGGAGAGCCUUUUCUAAGCAACCAUAAAACAAAUAACAUUAAGCUAUUCUAAGGGAUUUCCUGUCUCACUUGACCACAUAACAUAACAUGCUAAAUAAAUAUAAUGCACUUAUUGUAUCUCAAGAAGAUAAAUAAUUAGUGUUUUGGUGAAUUAACAUAGGCCUUGCACCUAACCAGAAUUUUAGACAGACACUAAGAACUGAACUUAACCUCUCAGAAACCCCACACCUGCUUGGAAAAGAAUUGAAUUAUCUGAUGUGUGCAAAGUAUCCCCUGGCAUAAAUGAAGCUAAGAAAGGACUAGUCAUUACAAAAAGGACACAGGUAUAAAUAGUACAGGUGUGAAGGCUGGCAUCAAGUGAGUAAUCAUUUACUGUUACGCAUUUAAAACAUUUUUAGUUUUAGGAUUUCUUUUACACUAUGUCGGAGCGUUAGUAGAUGACUACAUAGGAACAUAUAUGACAUUCUUUCAGAAAGAAACAAAGAGAAGUGAUCUUUUGAUGUUCUCUGGUUGGUUUUUGCCAUACUAUUUUCCUGGCUAUAAUAUAACCAUCAAAUAAAUUGGCCGUGAAAUCCCAUUGAUUUCCAAAAGAGGGAAACUUAACAGUUUCAACCUUCACUUGUCAACUCUGGUUUUAUGACUAUUCUGUAGUCAUGACAUUCAAAUGGACAGUCUCAGAAUCUGCCUUGUUUUGUUUGGGGGCAUCUCCAAUCAGCCUAAGAAAUACAAACAUGCACACGCACACAUACACACAGACACAGAAGAAAACUCCAAAAGCUUCCCAGCAUUUUUGUGAAACCCAUUAUAGAUUGCUUUUUGGAAACAGAAAUUCUUAACUUACAAAAACAUAUCUAGAGAAUUGUCUUCAUUAGUGAGAAGAACAUUUUCUAGAAGAGAGAGGAAGAUAUUUCAAAGAGGAAGUCAUCUCUUGGCCAAGAACAUGAAGGUCUCAGAUAUACUAACCCUACCUUUUACCAUUUUUCACGUUGGCCUCUGCUGAAAAUAAAGCAUUUUUCAAACUUAUUCAUAUCAUUAGACAUUACACAUAGCACACAGGCAAGGACACACACCCCACAAAAUAUACCCAACACACACAUGCACACACGCAUGCACACACACACACACCCUGCACCUUAUACAGCAAACACCACAGCACACACACCCUGUGAACCAUACACAAAAACACAACACACACUGUACACAGCACAGCACAUCCAUGGUCAGAAAUCACUUUACCUCCUGAACCACAGAGAAGUGGUACUGAGUUAGAAAGAUAUGCCCUUGUGUUCCAUUUAUAAAUAAUGUGGCUUUACCUGUUUUGCCACAUACUUUCAAUUUUGUCACUUUUCUGAAUGUAAAGGAAAGGGGCAGGAUGAUAAAUACACAAGGGAGUGGACAGGGGGCUGGGUGUUUUUUUUUUUUUGGUGUUAUUGUUUUGUUUUUGCAUAAUGAUAACAUUUUUAAAUCCAGAGAUGAGUGUUAUAUACUAAAAUUUAGAGAAAUGAGGUCUCCCACAGUGCUCAGGCAUGAGGUUGAUAAGAUUCUCUUCCUAGCCUGCCUGAGCUUUUACAAUGAGACUGAACAUAUUUCUGUUCCAUCCACUAUUCCUUUGAAUGAAGGCAGCAUUUUGAGAAUUUCAGGCUCUGGAACUAAGACUGUAAAGAGGUUAAGACAGUAGAAAUGGUGAUAAGAAGAGAAUGGAGCCGACUUUUUUACUUUCAGAUCCAUCAUCACAUGUCUAAAAUUAGGGAGGUCAGUGGUAAGUGGAACUGCUGUAUAUUACUUGUGGUAUCCUGUGCUGAAUGCAAUCUUUGGAGAACACUUCAGCAUUUUAUGCCAGACAACUUUAAGAAGUUUUAAAAUUUAACCAAGUAAUCUUUCUUCUAGGAAUUGACCAUAACUAAAUAAAAUUUAAUUUUUUAAAUUACAUGUUUAAAUAUGUCUUCAAUAUUUUAAAAUAAUUCUUAUGAAUAGCAAGGGAACUGCAUUCAAUGUCCUGUGAUAAACCGUAGUGGAAAAUAAUACAUAAAAUUAUAUAUAUAUGUGUAUAUAUGUAUAACUAAAUCAUUUUGUGCAGCAGAAAUCAACACAACAUUAUAAAUCAAUUCUAGGAGUUCCCGUCGUGGUGCAGUGGUUAACGAAUCCAACUAGGAACCAUGAGGUUGCGGGUUCGGUCCCUGCCCUUGCUCAGUGGGUUAACAAUCCGGCGUUGCCAUGAGCUGUGGUGUAGGUUGCAGACGCGGCUCGGAUCCCGAGUUGCUGUGGCUCUGGCAUAGGCUGGCAGCUACAGCUCCGAUUAGACCCCUAGCCUGGGAACCUCCAUGUGCCGCGGGAGCGGCCCAAAGAAAUAGCAAAAAGACAAAAAUAAAUAAAUAAAUAAAUAAAUAAAUUCUAAUAAAAAAUCAAAAGUAACUGUCCAUAGUCCUGAAGAAUAGUAAGACAUCUAAAUGUUCAGUGAUACAAAAUGGUUAAGACAAUUAUGGUAAAUCCACAGAAUAUUGUAUCAUGAAACCAUUCAAUAUCUCUGAAUAUUAUGUAGCUGUGUGAACAUGAUUCUGCAAUACAAUUU
rnacentral:lncRNA from 1 species